rnacentral:rRNA from 1 species
GACGAACGCUGGCGGCGUGCCUAAUACAUGCAAGUAGAACGCUGAAGAGAGGAGCUUACUCUUCUUGGAUGAGUUGCGAACGGGUGAGUAACGCGUAGGUAACCUGCCUUGUAGCGGGGGAUAACUAUUGGAAACGAUAGCUAAUACCGCAUAACAAUGGAUGACACAUGUCAUUUAUUUGAAAGGGGCAAUUGCUCCACUACAAGAUGGACCUGCGUUGUAUUAGCUAGUAGGUGAGGUAAUGGCUCACCUAGGCGACGAUACAUAGCCGACCUGAGAGGGUGAUCGGCCACACUGGGACUGAGACACGGCCCAGACUCCUACGGGAGGCAGCAGUAGGGAAUCUUCGGCAAUGGGGGCAACCCUGACCGAGCAACGCCGCGUGAGUGAAGAAGGUUUUCGGAUCGUAAAGCUCUGUUGUAAGUCAAGAACGGGUGUGAGAGUGGAAAGUUCACACUGUGACGGUAGCUUACCAGAAAGGGACGGCUAACUGCGUG